UAGAAAUUCUACUUCUUGGGGAUUGGUUCUCUGACCUGAAGGAGGAUUUGGUCGUCUCUUCAGUUGUAAUGGCAUGAUCUGUCCCUGUAACUCUAACUUGUGUUUCUUACAAACUCUUCUGUGACUUUUUUUUUUUUGCUUGUUUCUAAAGAGGGAAGUGUAACAGGAAAUAGGUGAGGAGCAUAUCUAAGUCUAAGUAGACAUUAUUUCUUUCUUUUUUUUUUUUAAAGCAUUUCUUGUUUCUUUUUUAAAAAAUAUUUAUUUAUUCCCUUUUGUUGCCCUUGUUGUUUUAUUCUUGUAGUUAUUGUUGUUGUCAUUGUUGUUGGAUAGGAUAGAGAGAAAUGGAGAGAGAUGGGGAAGACAGAGAGGAGGAGAGAAAGAUAGACACCUGAGGACCUGCUUCACCGCCUGUGAAGCAACUCCCCUGCAGGUGGGGAGCCGGGGCUCCAACCCGGAUCCAUAUGCCAGUCUUUAAGCUUUGCCCCACUUGCACUUAACCCACAGCGCUACCGCUGGACUCCCAGUAGACACUAUUUCAUUGUGAACUUUUUUUUUUUUUUGCCUCCAAGGUUAUUGCUGGGGCUCAGUGCCAGCACCGCGAAUCCACUGCUCCUAGAGGACAUUUUUUCCCCUUUGUUACCCUGGUUGUUUUACCAUUGUUGUGGUCGUUAUUAUCGUUGUUAUCAAUAUAGUUGUUGUUAGGACAGAGAGAAAUGGAGAGAGGAGGGGAAGACAGAGAGGGAGAGAAAAAGAUAGACACUUGCAGACCAGCUUCACCGCCUGUGAAGCGACUCCCCUGCAGGUGGGGAGCCCGGUGCUUGAACUGGGAUCCCUACACCGGUCCUUGCGCCUUGCACCACGCUCGCUCAACCCACUGCGCUGCCGCAGGACCUCUAUUGUGAACUUUAUACUGACUCACUGCAGACUAUUGUGUACUUUCUUUUGCUUUCAGGUAUAUAUUUUGGGGAGCCCGGCGGUGGCGCAGAGGGUUAAGCGAACAUGGCGCAAAGCGCACGGACCAACAUCAGGGUUAUCGCUGGGACUCCAUGCUGGCACUGUGAAUCCACUGCUUCUGACACCCCCCCCCCCAUUUUAUUGGAUUGGAGGAAGAGAAAUUGAGAGAGGAGGGGAAGAGAGAGGUAGAAAAAGAGACACCUGCAGAUCUGUUUUGCUGUUUGUGAAGAAGCUUCCUACCUGCAGGUGGGGAGCUGGGGGCUUGAACCCGAGUCCUUGCAUGGGUCCUUGUGCAUAGUACUAUAUGUGCUUUACUGGUACUGUGUGUGCUUAACUGGGUGAGCCACUCACUGCUCAGCCCCACAAUGUGUGCUUAGUUGGGUAUGCCAUCACCCGCCUCCCAUGACAUUGGUUUCUUUGUAGUUGAUCAGGUUUAAAUUUUCCUUUUCUUUUCUCUUUUCUUUUCUUUUCCUUCUCUUCUUUUCUUCCCUCCCUCUCCUUUCUUUCUCUCUCUCUCCCUUUCUUUCUUUCUUUCAUCAGAGCACUGCCCAACUCUUAUUUAUGGUGCUGUGGGGGACUGAAUUUGGGACUAUGGAGCCUCAGCCAUUAGAGUCUGUUAGCAUAGCCAUUAUGCUACCUGACCCCACCCAUCAGGUUUAAUUUCCUUCUCUCUGGAAGUUAGAGUAGACAAUGGAUUUUGCAGUCAGAUAAUGUUUUGGGGAGGUUCACA